rnacentral:rRNA from 1 species
GACGAACGCUGGCGGCGUGCUUAACACAUGCAAGUCGAACGGAAAGGCCCUGCUUUUGUGGGGUGCUCGAGUGGCGAACGGGUGAGUAACACGUGAGUAACCUGCCCUUGACUUUGGGAUAACUUCAGGAAACUGGGGCUAAUACCGGAUAAGAGCUCCUGCUGCAUGGUGGGGGUUGGAAAGUUUCGGCGGUUGGGGAUGGACUCGCGGCUUAUCAGCUUGUUGGUGGGGUAGUGGCUUACCAAGGCUUUGACGGGUAGCCGGCCUGAGAGGGUGACCGGCCACAUUGGGACUGAGAUACGGCUCAGACUCCUACGGGAGGCAGCAGUGGGGAAUAUUGCACAAUGGGCGGAAGCCUGAUGCAGCAACGCCGCGUGCGGGAUGACGGCCUUCGGGUUGUAAACCGCUUUCGCCUGUGACGAAGCGUGAGUGACGGUAAUGGGUAAAGAAGCACCGGCUAACUACGUG